AUUGAACGCUGGCGGCAUGCCUUACACAUGCAAGUCGAACGGCAGCAUGGAGAGCUUGCUCUCUGAUGGCGAGUGGCGAACGGGUGAGUAAAGCAUCGGAACGUACCGUGUAGUGGGGGAUAACGUAGCGAAAGUUACGCUAAUACCGCAUACGCACUGAGGUGGAAAGCAGGGGAUCGUAAGACCUUGCGCUAUACGAGCGGCCGAUGUCAGAUUAGCUAGUUGGUAGGGUAAAGGCCUACCAAGGCGACGAUCUGUAGCGGGUCUGAGAGGAUGAUCCGCCACACUGGGACUGAGACACGGCCCAGACUCCUACGGGAGGCAGCAGUGGGGAAUUUUGGACAAUGGGGGCAACCCUGAUCCAGCCAUGCUGCGUGAGUGAAGAAGGCCUUCGGGUUGUAAAGCUCUUUCGGCCGGGAAGAAAUCGCACAGGCUAAUACCCUGUGUGGAUGACGGUACCGGCAUAAGAAGCACCGGCUAACUACGUGCCAGCCGCCGCGGUAA
rnacentral:rRNA from 1 species